rnacentral:misc_RNA from 1 species
GAAAUGCGAUACGCAAUGCGAAUUGCAGAAUUCCGCGAGUCAUCAGAUCUUUGAACGCAGCCGGCGCUGGCGGGAUAUCCCACCAGCAUGUUUGUUUCAGUGUGUUUGGUUGACUUCACACAACCUAAUGCGAUUGAGGUUCUUUUACAAGGGCUUCUCUCGUGAAGGAGGAUAGCUUGCGGCUGAGUCCGCCAAUGAAGUGGUCACUGUUCAGCAGUGAUUUCAUUGGAGUCACGCGCUCAGUCUAUAAAAAACAAGCUUUUCAUCAGAAACUCUUCAAUCAGCACCUGAAAUCAAGCAAGAUCACCCGCUGAACUUAA